rnacentral:lncRNA from 1 species
AAAAAAUUUCUUUUGAUAGAAAAUUCUCAGACUCUUAUUAGCUUUUACUAACCUACAAAUAAAUAUUUCAUUUAGGAAUAUUACAUAUGCAUAUGUGGAUCCCAUAGCCGUAUGCUGUUGAAAAUUUUGUCCACAAGCAAAAAAAGAUUGGGAACCCUUGUUCUAAGCAAGCAAACACACAAAAAAUAUUUAUACAAUAUCUGUUUUUUACAAUUGAAAAUUUCUAUCUUCUGCUUUUGUAAGGAUCCAGGCAAUACAUCCUCAGUAUUGACCAUUUUUUGUUUAAAUACCUUUAGUUUUUUUAGAUAUUUUAUUUUGUCUUCAGAAUUAUAAUCAGGAAUGAAUGGAGAGGGAUUUUGUAAAAACAAAUGACCAGUGAUGCCAGAAUGAAAUGAUGUAAAUAGUAAGAACUUAAAGAAUUCAAUACACAAAGAAGCAAGAAAUAUAUAGAACUACUAAGGCAAAGGAAAAGAUGAGUUACAUGAACAUAUAUACCAUAUACAUUCAUGUAACUCAUCCUUUCAGACUGGAAAAAGCUUUCACCCUACCUCCAUAUGGUCUAAGGCUUAAUAAAAUAUAGCAGAGUCGAACAACAGCACACUUUUUAGAUACAGAUAUAAAUAUAGAUGGAGGCAGAUUGAGGACUGCAGUUUACAGGAAAUCGGAGUACCAGCCAACUGUAAUACCCAACUGGUCACCAGACCCUAUAACAUAUAAAAAGGCAGCAUUCAGAAUGUACUGUAAAAGAGCGUCCUAUACUC